rnacentral:rRNA from 1 species
GUGCACCAGUCGCGAAUCCUUCGCAAUGCAGGAAACUGCGACGAGGGAACUCCAAGUGCCUACGCUCAGCGUAGGCUGUUCUCAAGCCUAGAAAGCUUGAGGAGUAAGGGCUGGGUAAGACGGGUGCCAUCUGUGGUAGCAGUCAAUAGAUUCGAUUUGUUACUGCAAGGCAUAAGCGGCGCGGUAAUACCCGCAGCCCAAGUGGUGGCCGCUUUUUAGUUGGGCCUAAAGCGUCCGUAGCCGGCCCGG